CAUACAGCAUUUUAUUUGUAGAUAUCCAAAUGCUCUGACGCAGAAAACCAUUAUCUCUGUUCUACAGAUGGUGAGAUGGGGGCACAGAGAAUUAUCUGCCAGGGCCAUGGUGAAGAUUAUGAAGUCAGGAGCAGAACUGACAAGAUCUCUUUAACUCUGUCUCAGGACAGCACAACAGGAUACACCCAAGUCACACUGGCGAGUGUUCCUCCUAGAGGUCACAUGGUGGCCCACAGUUACAUCAGCUGAGGCCUGAACCAAAACACGAAGGUGUUACGUGCAGUAAGUCCUGAGAGUUCUGAACACUGUAGCAGAUGGAGUGCAGUCAAAACUGGCUUGCUCUUCUUUUUCUGAUUCAGCAUGAAUUCAGAAUAACUUGUAUUAAGUAUGAAGAGCGUUUACCCUGCAGAAAAAGAAAGUACAUAUUCAUCUGGUUUG
rnacentral:lncRNA from 12 species